GACGUAGGGCGCGAGCGUUGUCCGGAUUUAUUGGGCGUAAAGAGCUCGUAGGCGGCUCGUUGCGUCGGCUGUGAAAACCCGCAGCUCAACUGUGGGCUUGCAGCUGAUACGGGCGGGCUGGAGUUCGGUAGGGGAGACUGGAAUUCUUGGUGUAGCGGUGAAAUGCGCAGAUAUCAGGAGGAACACCGGUGGCGAAGGCGGGUCUCUGGGCCGAUACUGACGCUGAGGAGCGAAAGCGUGGGGAGCGAACAGG
rnacentral:rRNA from 1 species